rnacentral:rRNA from 1 species
UACGUAGGGCGCAAGCGUUGUCCGGAAUUAUUGGGCGUAAAGGGGGUGUAGGUGGCGCGCUAAGUCGGGUGUGAAAUUUCGGAGCUUAACUCCGAAACUGCAUUCGAUACUGGCGUGCUUGAGGACUGGAGAGGAGACUGGAAUUCAUGGUGUAGCAGUGAAAUGCGUAGAGAUCAUGAGGAAGACCAGUGGCGAAGGCGGGUCUCUGGACAGUUCCUGACACUGAGACACGAAGGCCAGGGGAGCAAACGGG